GAUGAACGCUGGCGGCGUGCCUAAUACAUGCAAGUCGAGCGAACAGACGAGGAGCUUGCUCCUCUGACGUUAGCGGCGGACGGGUGAGUAACACGUGGAUAACCUACCUAUAAGACUGGGAUAACUUCGGGAAACCGGAGCUAAUACCGGAUAAUAUAUUGAACCGCAUGAUUCAAUAGUGAAAGACGGUUUUGCUGUCACUUAUAGAUGGAUCCGCGCCGCAUUAGCUAGUUGGUAAGGUAACGGCUUACCAAGGCAACGAUGCGUAGCCGACCUGAGAGGGUGAUCGGCCACACUGGAACUGAGACACGGUCCAGACUCCUACGGGAGGCAGCAGUAGGGAAUCUUCCGCAAUGGGCGAAAGCCUGACGGAGCAACGCCGCGUGAGUGAUGAAGGUCUUCGGAUCGUAAAACUCUGUUAUUAGGGAAGAACAAAUGUGUAAGUAACUAUGCACGUCUUGACGGUACCUAAUCAGAAAGCCACGGCUAACUACGUG
rnacentral:rRNA from 1 species